rnacentral:rRNA from 1 species
UACGGAGGGUGCAAGCGUUAUCCGGAUUCACUGGGUUUAAAGGGUGCGUAGGCGGGUAUAUAAGUCAGUGGUGAAAGCUCCGAGCUUAACUUGGAAACUGCCAUUUGAUACUGUAUAUCUUUGAAUAUCGUAGAGGUUUAGCGGAAUGUUGCAUGUAGCGGUGAAAUGCUUAGAUAUGUUACAGAACACCAAUUUGCGAAAGGCAGCUAACUA